UGUCUUCAAAGUCCAUCCGGUGGGUAGACCGGAAGUUGCAUAUUGUGCGCCGGAAAUGCCCUGCGCGUGUAGCGGCCUGCGGUAACGAGGAGAUAUACGCUGUGACGGAACGCCGGUUUGGUAAUCGCUGUGUCACCGCGAUGAACGCGGCGCAGAGGAAGCGGAAGAGAGAGUUGUCUGAGGAGGUCAGGAUGAAAAUCAUAGACCAGCACAUCAAAGGCAAAGGCUACAAGACCAUCUCCAAGCAGCUGGAGGUCCCUGUGACCACGGUGGCCAACAUUGUCAGGAAGGUGAAGGACCACGGCAGCGUGGCCAACCUCCCCGGGCGUGGCCGCAAGAAGAAGAUCGACCCCGGCUUGAUCGGAAGGAUUGAGCAAAUGGUAGACAAAGAGCCAAAGAAAACCUCUAAAGAGAUACAAGCUGAACUCCAAGGACAGGGUGCGUCUGUGUCUGACCGCACUAUCCGCCGCUUCUUGAACGAGAGCGGGCUCAAAGGAAGGGGUCCUAGAAGGAAAGAGAAACCUAAAAAAACAGACGAGGCAAAAUGAGCUUUUAGGAAAGUUCCCAUCAGCUCUGUGUUCACAUAUUUAUUUUAUUAUUAGAGGACCACCCUACCAACUGUGAAACAUGGCGAAAGCUUGGCUUUGUGGCUGAUUUGCUGUUCCUUGAGCCUGCUGGUUAUGAUGAAAUCAAGACGAUGCAGCGAAUGCCUGCGCUAAUCCUAACACUGUGGGAGAAGAAGAAGCUUAACGUAACAAUUUAACGAGAUAUUGAGACAAUGUAAUAUUUAUAAUGAUGAGAUAAAACUUGGACCGUCUUCGGGGGGAAAAAAAGGCAGGAAAGCAAGAAUGGCCAAUGCUGUAUGCGUGUUACUGAAAAUGAAAGGCGUGGCUAUGGCGAAAGUCGUCCAAUGGGAUGCUGAGAGGAAACGAUUAUUGGAACAGUGGAAGUCUGGACUGCCCACACCUGAAGGGAAGAAUGUCGGAAGAAACCGUACCCGGUCAUGGUUCAGGUUUCUAUGGAGUCGUCCUCGGGUGCCAUCUUCCUGGGAUGGAUGUGAUGAGAGGAGGACUCGGCGCCGCCUUGUUUCUGGCAAAGCGCCAGGUGAACACGGUGGAGGUCUGGACUGCCCACACCUGAAGGGAAAAAUGUCAGAAGGAAAUGGAUGAAACCGUACCCGCUCAUUAUUCAGAUUUCUAUGGAGUCCUCGGGUGCCGUCUCCCUGAGAUGGAUGUGAUGAGGACUCGGCACCUUGUGAACAUGGCCGACGUUUCAUACAAAGGUGGAGGUCUGGACUGCCCACACCUGAAGGGAAAAAUGUCGGAAGGAAAUGGAUGAAACCGUACCCGCUCAUUAUUCAGAUUUCUAUGGAGUCGUCCUCGGGUGCCGUCUCCCUGAGAUGGAUGUGAUGAGAGGAGGACUCGGCGCCUUGUGAACAUGGCCGACAUUUCAUACAAAGGUGGAAGUCUGGCCUGCCCACACCUGAAGGGAAAAAUGUCGGAAGGAAAUGGAUGAAACCGUACCCGCUCAUUAUUCAGAUUUCUAUGGAGUCCUCGGGUUCCGUCUCCCUGAGAUGGAUGUGAUGAGAAGAGGACUCGGCACCGUGUGAACAUGGCCGACAUUUCAUACAAAGGGUUGGCGGAAGUGAUGGUCUUUGUCUGAAGAACAAGAAGUAAAAAGUUAAUUUUGAUGUUCAGAAUAAAGUUGAUUUUCAAAGUUGA